UACGAAGGGGGCUAGCGUUGCUCGGAAUCACUGGGCGUAAAGCGCACGUAGGCGGCUUACUAAGUCAGGGGUGAAAUCCUGGAGCUCAACUCCAGAACUGCCUUUGAAUACUGGUGAGCUUGAGUCGGAAGAGGUGAGUGGAACUGCGAGUGUAGAGGUGAAAUUCGUAGAUAUUCGCAAGAACACCAGUGGCGAAGGCGGACUCACUGGUCCGGUACUGGACGCUGAGGUGCGAAAGCGUGGGGAGCAACAGGG
rnacentral:rRNA from 1 species